CAGCAGCUGCGGUUAAACAUAAUAUACAAAUAAAAUAAUUUGGUUAAUAGUAUAAAUAUAAAAAAAUAAAAAUUAAUUUUUUAAUAAGGUAAAAUUUAAAAUAAAAUUAAAUUUUUAAUUAUUUUAUUUCUAUUAAAUUUUAUUUAAAACUAGGAUUAGAUACCCUAUUAUAAAAAUUUAAAAUUAUUUACUAAAAAAUUAAUAGUUAUUAUCUUUAAAUUUAAAAAAUUUGGCGGUAUUUUAGUCUUAUUAGAGGAACCUGUUUUUUAAUUGAUAAUCCACGAUUAAUUUUACUUAUUUUUUAAAUUCAUAUAUCGCUGUCAUGAAUAUAUUAAAAAAUUUAAUUUCUAUAAUUUAUUAUAUUAAUUUAUGUUAAGUCAAGAUAUGGUUAAUAAAUAAGAAAAUAAUGGGUUACAUUAAAUUUUAUUUUUGGAUUUAAUAUGAAAAAUUUUAAUGAAAUUGGAUUUAAUAGUAAAUUUAAUUAUUUAAUUAAUAUGAAUAAAGAUCUAAAAUAUGUACAUAUUGCCCGUCAUUCUUAUUAAAAAUAAGACAAGUCGUAACAAAGUAAAUGUACUGGAAAUUGUAUUUAGAAAGA
rnacentral:rRNA from 1 species